UGAUUGCAGAUUCAGUGAUCAUCGAAUCUUUGAACGCACCUUGCGCCUUUUGGUAUUCCAAAAGGCACACCUGUUUGAGUGUCAUGA
rnacentral:rRNA from 1 species